GUCAUUGAGUCAACUGGCGGGGUUUCGAAUCCCCAGUUGUACGUGACAAGGAGUAGGGUCACCUGUCCAACCUCGUGGGUUUUCUCCGGGUCCUCCGGUUUCCUCCCACUGCUAAAGACCCCUACACGCAAGCGAAUUAUUGAAAUAAAAUUGAACCAUGUGUUAGUCCCGAAAUGACCUAGUUUGUGUCGAGUGGACGUUAAACCCCAUUUCUCUCUCUCUCUCUAGUAAAACUGAAUAACAUUGUGGGAAUUCCCAUUAUUGACUUGUUUUAUCUGGUUCAUAUUGUGGGUAUGCCCGUUAUUUAUUGAUAUACUGACGUAAUACAGUAGACUAAAUCGUCAUGUUAUUAUUUUGUAACUGUUAAGCACAAGACCAGUAUAACCUAGUCUACAAUGCUUAGGUCAUAGCCACAAAUAGACGGUGAUUUCCCUUUUGGAGAUUUUAAUAAAUAUUUCCUGCCUGUAUUUGUCUCGCCAUUUUUGUUUUUCUCGCCAUUUCUGCUGUCGAUCAGAGUGGAAGAAGGUUGUGUUUAUUAAAUCUGUUACUAUAACAACAACAUCAUGGCUGACACUUCACUUCAACAGAUUGUCCAACAACAGAUUGUCCAACAACAGAUUGUUAAUUUGUACGAUUCAAAUAAUGUACAACUAGGCAAGACCAACAACAUACACUGUCAUCAGUCUAAUCAACUAAAACAAGAUGUUGAUAGAAUGAAGAAUGAAAUACAACAACUCAAGUCAGAAAAUCAGACUCAAGCUAACGAAAUACAAAUACUCAAGUCAGAUAAUCAACUACUCAAGUCAGACAAUGAGCAACUCAAGUCAAGGGUGAAAGUUCUGGAAGUUAAAACAGGAGUCGAGGAGACAAAUAAAAAUAUAAUUAAAGAAAAAGAUGAUAUGAUUGAACUUACUAUAAUAAACUACAAUGGGUGUUAUAAGAUAACUAUAAGUAUUAGUAGAGAUCAAACAGUGAAGGAAUUAGAGAAGAUACUGGAGAAGAAGCUUAUAAAGUGUGGUUGUAUUAGUUAUAUCUACAGUGAUGAUGGGCAGGACAAGUACGACUACAGACAACACAACAAACAUCUCUCAUUAUCACACUUUAAUAUAGAACAUGGAGAUAUAGUCUGGUGGCUCUAGUCUGUUGAUGGUGUAUAAAAUAUUAAAUCAUAUAUACUAACUAUAAAACAAUAUUAAACAUUUAACUUGAACAUUGAAUUCUAUCUAUAUAUACUAACUAUAAAACAAUAUUAAACAUUUAACUUGAUGGUGUAUAAAAUGGAGAUGUUAUUUUUACAAUUAUAAAGACUGUGAAUAUAUUUUGUAUUCUGUUGAAGUCCAGAGUGCUAGAACGGAACGGAGACGGUGCUGCACAUUGUAGCAAAUAUGACGUCAUAUGUGGAUUGCAGGUUAGGACCUGCAGAUUUCGUUAAAAUAUCCAGAUGUAAAUAGGGCUAGCGCUAACCCUAACCCUGGGCCAAGCCUAACCCUUACCCUUACCCCAACGCAUAAUCCCAGAGGGGUAGCCGUAAAAUAUAUAUGGGGGGGGGGCGCAAAUGACAUUAUAUAUUAUAAAAUGUUGACAAUCUGUGACGCCGGAUAGGGAGAGUGUAGCGCAAUAGGGAGAGCGUGGGAGGGUCAUCCUCGCACUGGGGGGGGGGGGGCACUAGUCUUCUGUAAACACUGUUUUGGCAUAUUUUACGGGGUUAAACUAAAACAUCACACCAAUACAAUGUUUAUCAUGUUUAAGUCAGGGGUGCCGUAUUCAUAUUUUUUCAUGACUUUUACAUAUUGAAUGUUACGCUUGAGUUAUGAACAAUACGACAAAGAUAGUUUAGUAGGGGAUUUUUUAUGAGGAGGAUUCAAAUGAAACAAAACUUGAUCACAUAACUUUAGUUUAUGAGGAUGCAUAUUUGACAAUCACCUUGUUAACUACAAUACAUACACAUUGAAAUUUACAAGAAAGUUGUAUAGAUAUUUAAAGUAUUUUGUACAUUUUGUGUAUUAUAAAUGGAUUUCAAAAAAUAAACAUAAGUGUUUGUGUUUUAA